rnacentral:lncRNA from 1 species
CGGCUUCCCGCGGCGCGCGGUGAUUGGUGCUCGCUGGGCUCGGGGCGGUUCCAGGCCGAGCUGUGAGAGCCACCGCCCUUCUGGAAAGUUCGGCGCGGUUUGUGGCGCGGCGAGGACCUGCAGAGCCGUGAACCCGGCGCUGGCCGUGAAGAGGUUCUGUCCUGCAGAGCUUAUGGCCAUGUUAUGGAAUAACAAAUGCUGUUGGCAAAGCGUGGAGUAGUGCAGAAACCACCACUGUGUCCCUUGGAGGGGUUUGCUGUAAGGUGAGCAGUUCAGGGAGCUUUUCCUUCUCUAAUGCACCUCCCAGAUGAAGGAGGCCUGACUAACGGAGCAGAUAUUGCAGUGCUCUCAGUUCUGUUGGUGUUUUACGUGGAACGCAAAGCACAAUAAGUGUGUAGCUGCAUAUUAGAAUUUCGGAAGGAUGGAAGUUUCCAUGGAGACACUCAAGCAGCCGAAGAGCUGUCAGUGAGAGCACUGCUCCUUGGCUGCUGGAGGUGUGUCUGACACCAGCUGUGCUCCUCUCUUUCCACCUCUGUGGCUCUGAAGCUGUGGGGCUCCUGGCUGGGUGCAGGGCAGUCCGUGCUGUGUCCAGCUGCUGCCUCAGGACCUGCCUGGCUGUGCUGUGAGUCAGGGAGGAGGAGUGGGCCACUGCCAUUGCUGGGGGCUGGAUCCAUUGCUUAUCCUGCUCUGCUGCCCUUCUCUUUGCCAUACCUCACAUUGUUUGUUUUUGGUGUCUUUGGGAUAAGUAAACAUUGGUUUUAUGUGGAUGUUGCUCUGAAGUAUGGAAGCAGUUUGAAAAACAUUAUUUUAAACGUUCCUACAAGUAUUUUUCUAUAUUGUACUUUUAGAAUGAAAGAUUUCUCUUUUUGUUUGACUUGUAACUGACAGCU